rnacentral:lncRNA from 1 species
UAUCUCAGGUCUUAGGACAACCACAAAAUCCAUUAGGUUGUCUGUUGACAGUCUGUUGAUGUCUUGUUCAGUAAAAAUAAAUUUCGUCAACAGUUUUGUUAUUGUUACAGGAUAUUGUUUCUCUUUUAGAGAAGUUCAGUGGAACAAAGGCAAUAUUUUGGGAUGAACAACUCACUGGCCCCAUUGGUUUGGUGGCAGAAUACAGUUUUCUUAAGGAACUAGAUGUUGUAAAAAUGUUCCAGUUAAAACCUGGGCGCUUGCCUUCCAUAUCUGUUAAAAAUAUACUGUUCAUCACAAGACCUGAAGUUGAGCUGAUGGAUUGUAUUGCCGAUAACUUGCACAGCGAAGAAAGCCAAGGACAUUCUGCUAGUAAGGAAUAUCAGUUAAUUUUUGUCUCCCGACGAAGUGCAGUAUGUGAACAGCGGCUCAAGGACAAAGGAGUGUAUGGAACUCUUACUUCUAUUGAUGAACUGCCUGUUGAUUUUUUCCCACUAGAUAGUGAUGUCAUUUCAAUGGAACUCGAUAAUGUUUUCAAGGAUUUAUAUGUUGACAAUGAAAUCAGCUCCUUACACCAAAUUGCUCAUGGGUUAAUGUCCCUCCAAAGUUUAUAAGGCAUUUUCCCCAACGUU